GUAAGGCUUGUGGGGCUGCCCGCUGAGCAGCUUCCAGAACCCACUGUUGGGCUUCAUCCCAAUGGAAGGUGGCAGGCUUGCAUGUGAUUGCAUAUAUAGGGUGAAGAAUUUGUAAGAGAUGAGACAUAGCAGUGUUGGUUCCAGAACAUGAAGAGUCCUAGCAUGUGCUGUGCCUGUCUGAGUGUAGUGGGUGAUGGAAUGAAUUACUAACAGCAAAGACUGCCCUUGAAUCUCCUUGGAAGAGACUAUACCAGUUCCUCCUCACUACUCAAACGGCAGUCAGACUCCAGGCACUUGAGCCUUGAGCCUACAUUUUGCAGCUGAGAAAGACUCCACCUGUACAAAUGCUGAAGACCUCUUAUCAAACGACUAGGAUGAGAUGCAGCUGACAUCGAGGUUGACCGCUUCCUCCCAAGACACUGGAUCAAGACUUCAUGCUUUAAACCUGAAAACCUUACCUCUUCCUUUCUUUCCUUUACUCUGACAUUGGCCUGGAAAGAACACCAUCAUCUAUAUCUCCCAGGCCAUUGCUAAGGGAGGGUAACACUUCAGACUGCUAGACCCGUAAUCAAAAACUCUAAUAUAUAUGCUAGAGACCCCCUGGUCUGUUUCCCUGUCUCUGGUUAAGAGCUUCAAACUUGGGGAACUUUGUAUCCAGGUUCUAUGCAAAGAAAGGGACACAAGGCAAGGGUAACCAGAAUAAAACUGCCUGUGUGGUCUACAGACCCUUACAUUACUGCCUCCAAGGCCUGAGCCACAGAGUCAAACAGGAGUUACCAGGAGGCAUUCAGGAUUCAGGAUUCGCUUCCACUAGCAGAACCCUACUGCCCUGGUUAGAAGUAAAUGUAAGUGAGGCUAUGACGAGAAACCUCUCCUUAACUCUUGAAAGUAUUGCAGAAUCUGCUGCUAAAGCAAUAAGCUGCCUAACAAAAAUUCUUAGACUCUCUGGCCAAAGUUGUUCUUGAUAACAGGAUAGCCCUUGAUUAUCUUUUAGCUGAGCAAGGAGGUGUCUGUGCUAUGGCCCGCACCACCGGCGGCACCUGGAUUAACACUCUGGGGAAGUCGAAAGUCAGUUACAUAAAAUCAUUUAAGCCACUCUGCUUAAAAAGGUGACUCCUUCAAAAGGGUGUUUCUGUGAUUUGUUUGAUUUUGAGUGGCUUGGGUCUUGGGGACCAUGACUCCAAAAUGCACUCCAAAUAUUGGGAAUUAUCCUACUUAUAAUAAUCAUAAUAACCUCCCUGGUGC
rnacentral:lncRNA from 1 species